rnacentral:rRNA from 1 species
UACAGAGGUCUCAAGCGUUGUUCGGAUUCAUUGGGCGUAAAGGGUGCGUAGGUGGCGGGUCAAGUCAGGUGUGAAAUCUCGGGGCUCAACCCCGAAACUGCACUUGAUACUGCCUUGCUCGAGUACUGGAGAGGAGACUGGAAUUUACGGUGUAGCAGUGAAAUGCGUAGAUAUCGUAAGGAAGACCAGUGGCGAAGGCGAGUCUCUGGACAGUUACUGACACUGAGGCACGAAGGCCAGGGGAGCAAACGGG